ACGUUUGGCUCAUUAUAUGGGAGGGAAGUGUGUUUAUAAAGAGGAGACUUCUCCGGCACUGGCGGCAAGAACACCAGUCGCUCCGUCUCGCUUCUGCGCCAGUUGCCACGGAGAUUACCUGUCGCGCCACGCCCUCAUCUGAAACAAACCGCUCACAGGUUCGUAAGGGAGGAGUAGCAAAGAGAGGAAGGAUUCCAGGAAAGAUUCCGAGACAGACGAGGAUCAUGGGGACAACUCACGGCAAGCACACUUUUGUACAGAAUGAGAGGAUUGUGGGAAACCAGCCAGAGGGACAUAUGACAUGGGUCUACACAAAAAAGCACCUCCCAGGUUAUCCACGCUAUGGCACCAUUGAGAUGUUUUUCGAAUUUGAGGACGGGAUACAGACGGAGAAACACCCCAAUCCAGGGGAGAAGUAUUAUGGACAGAACAUUAAAGCUUACCUGCCCGACAACGGACAUGGGAGAAAGGUGGUGACGCAAUUGAAGAAGGCUUUCGACCAGAAGUUGGUGUUCACCGUGGCCACCAACAACAGUGGCGAAGACGCGGUCGCCCUGAGCGACAUCCCCCUCAAAACCCGGGACGACACUUCUGGACCCAGUAGCUUGUGCUACCCGGACACUCUGUACCUGAAGAAAGUAAACCAGAUCCUCAUAUCCAAACACAUUGAAUGAAGUGGCAGAUGGACACCUGUUUAAAACCCUUUGAUGAAUGGACAGCAAAACACGUGGACUAAUUUUUUUUUUUUUACAGAAUUUUUUGUAUUUUUAUACACUGCUUUGUUUACCAAUUGAUACAGUUCUCUUCUUUAUUUUUUUCCCUCUGAAUCUUUGAUAUUUGAUAUGUUUUAGGAUUGACAAAUUUAAAGAUUCGUUAGGACUCAACAAACUGAGGCUGCACAGAAAAAGGCUUGCAUUGGUUUAGCCGUUAGCGGUUAGCCACCGUUAGCGGUUAGCCACUGUUAGCCGUUAGCGGUUAGCUACCGUUAGCGGUUAGCCACUGUUAGCCGGUAGCGGGUUAGCUACCGCUAGCUGUUAGCGGUUAGCCACCGUUAGCGGUUAGCCACUGUUAGCCGUUAGCGGUUAGCCACCGUUAGCGGUUAGCCACUGUUAGCCGGUAGCGGUUAGCUACCGCUAGCUGUUAGCCGGAACACAACUGCCCACAGUUGUCCCACAGGCGUGCAGUCACCUUGUCCACACUGUUUGCUCCGGUGGCAGAUGGUACCACUGACUGGAACUGGCUCACAGUCAUGUAGGCUAGGGCUGGGGAAAGAGGGACACGCCUGUCUCUGAACUAAGUACUGCUUUCUGCACAACUGGUCCGAUCAUUUACACUAACUGACGUUCAUGUGUUAUGUGCAUUAGUAUAUGGCAGGACUAUGACGGCGAUGUUCUCAUGCAAUAAAUACGAAAUGUUUACUGUAAUAUAAUCCAUGUAGGGAAUUAAUGGGUAAUGAAUUAAUGGGUAGGGAAUGCUCAUGAGAGCUCAUUUAGAGAGACAGGUCUGUAGGUUUAAAGUGCUACACUUUCCAAAAGAAAAGAGAUCGGAGAAUUCCAUGUCCAACAACAGUGAAAUCCCAAGUGAGAUUCACACAACAUCAACGACGUGAGAUUCUGUGAUGUUGCAGUCACAGUUUCUGUUCAGCCUCAAUAUGCUUCAGAGACCGACAGCCUACGUUUUGCAUGACAUAGUGGGUUGCCUGAGACAGAACUUCGAAAAGACUUUUGUGACCCAAGUUGUCUUAGUAUUUUCUGUUGACAUAAAUGCUCAUUUUAGUGCACUGUUAACAGCUGUUUGCCGGUUCCCCCUUGUGGUCCAGUUUGGCACUACACCCACAUUUCAUAACUUGUAUUUAUUGCUUUUGUACACAAAUGCGGGCCUAUUUCAUUUUAUGCUUAUAUCUAGUACGCACAUUUGUAAAGCUUUGAAAGGCUUUGACCUAAAAAGGCCAUGAUAGUAAUUUAUAUGGAAACAAAAAAGCUUCAUUACUCUUUUUUUUACAGAAGGCUUCAGUUUAUUUUUGAUUGAAUAAAUAAUGACAAAGUAAAA